rnacentral:lncRNA from 1 species
UUUGGAUUAGGAUUUGGUCAGGGUUUGAUUUAAGGUUUGGUUUUGGAUUUAGGGUUUGGAUUAGAGUUUAGGGUUGGAUUUGGGUUUGGAUUAGGGUUUGGAUUAGGGUUUGGAUUAGGGUUUAGGGUUUGGUUAGGAUUUGAUUUAGGAUUUGGAUUAGAGUUUGGAUUAGGAUUUGGUUAGGAUUUGAUUUAAGAUUUGGUUUAGGGUUUAGGAUUUGGAUUAGAAUUUAGGGUUGGAUUAGGAUUUGGAUUAGGAUUUGGAUUAGGAUUUAGGAUUUGGUUAGGAUUUGAUUUAAGGUUUGGUUUAGGAUUUAGGGUUGGAUUAGGGUUUGGUUUAGGGUUUGAUUUAGGAUUUGGUUUAGGGUUUAGGGUUUGAAAUAGGGUUUAAUUUAAGAUUUGUUUAGGAUUUGACUUAGGGUUUAGGAAUUAUUAGGGUUUAAGAUUUAAUUAGGUUUGGUCUAAAGUUGAGUGAAAUUCAAUAGGGUUUUAACUAGAAUUAAAUUAAGCUUGAAUUGACAUAUAUUUGAGUAAAAUUUGUGAUCAUUCUAAUAUUUCUUUAAGAAUUUUAUUGUUUAUUUGAAAUUUCUUUGAGUUGUUUUGAAUUUGAUUAUGUUUGUUUACCAUUAUUAUAGUCUAAUUAGAGCAUUGUUAGUAUUCUAUUUAAGAUUUUGUUAUCGCAAUUUCUAUUCUUCCUUCUACAGCUAGGUGCCUGGAGCAUUCUCAAAUAAGACUUCACACAUUACGACAAUGCUGCCUUUUUAGAAAGGUGACUUCUACUUACUUUGUAGGGCCAUAAAUAAGGCAAAGUAAGGUAGAUUGGAAAAAUAAAUGAUAUAGACAUCUUUAGGACGAAGUUAAGAAUAAAUUCUAGUAAAAAUUACUUAAAAAAACUAGAUGUUGAUACCCGGAGAGGGCUGGUUAUGAACCAGGGUUGAAAUCAGACCCUGAGGCACAAAAUCGAGUCUCGAUGAUGAUUUUUGGACUCUUUGGCAGUUGGAGAGUGGGGUUUGAGAGGAGAUUGGAUAAGGUUUCUACAAGCAUUGAUUUUGGAUGAUUUGUAGUUAUUAUGACUUUGUAAGAGCUUUAUAAAGUCAAGAUUUAUUUUAGAUGACUUGGAUUUUAUGAAAUAAAAUAGGGUUUACGUUUUCGAUGAUUUCAAGAGUUUUGUAAUAGAUCUACAAAUGAAAGUUUAUAGAUUUAUGGUUAUAGUUGUGAAUUUGAGCUUGAUCUAAUGGUUGAAUUAAGGGAUAUUGAGGUUUAAGUGGAUUAAGGUCUCAGAAAGUGGAAUUUUAGGUCUAGUAGAGAU